rnacentral:lncRNA from 1 species
GAUACUUAAAUAGAGGAAAUAUAGAAGAAGCCGGUCCCUCAUACUUGGGUCAUAAUUCAAGUCCUUUGAAUUACAUACGAUGUCAACUCGGAAGUUAUUAUCGGUUUUCUCAAGGAUUAUUUCUAGUGAGGGUGUCCUGCGUAUCCAACCGGGUUAGACAUUCCAUUAUGAAUUUAUUUUUAUUAAAGGCCAUAUGCAUGAUAGGGUAAAGUUCGUUUAAUGCUAAGAUUAUAUAUGCUUCUUUACCCUAUUUAUGAUUUAAUAUGGUACAUGUCCGGUUACUUUGCUGAUAUAACUGAGUUAAUAUAUGUGUUAAUCUAAGCAAUAUCUAUUACUGAUUAUUGAAUAAAUCUGGUAAUUGAUUGAUCACCUAGUUAGGGCCCGUAUGCUGGCGAUUGUGCUUAUUGCACUUCUGUUAUGCGGUGGGCCUUGGUAAGCGCCACAACUAACUAUUGCCGUGGUCUUUGAUAAGCGCCACACUAACUCUACGCGGCCCAUUUUAGUGCCACUAACUCUACAUGGGUCGUCAGCAAAUGUGAGCUGGGAUCCCAAAUAAAAUAUGGAUAUGAAUUAGAUUAUAGAUUUAGCCUUCUGUGUUAUAUGCCAGAUACUUUCUAUAUGAUUAUGUGUACCUUAGAGUGACGAGGAUAGAGAUCCUCACUCAGUGCUUAGCACUGACCCUUACUUUCCAUUUCAGAGUGACAGUAGGCUUUACUGGUUCACACACUGCAAAACUGCAAAAUGGUAUGAUCGAGCUUCGGGGUCGGUCAUCACGGUGACGACACCAGGUAGAUAUCGAAGAUUGUGUCUUGAUCCUCGUUUUGUGUUUAAAGCUCGUUUGAGAGUCUUACUCUCAUCAUGUGCAUAUGUUAUGAGUGAUUGUGUACUAGUAUAACGUGAGAUAUGAUUUUGUAAAAUAUAGUGGCAUUGAGGGCAAGUAUAUGGUUACUCCAAUCCGAGCCUGUGAAGCUCGAGGCUUCUACUUUAUAUGUAUAUGUGUCCCGCUGGACUUCUGGUAUAGUGUACUGUAUUGUGAAAAAUCAAUAAGUCAUAUAUGACAUUGUGAGCAGUUUCUGUGUUGACGGAUUAA